GACGAACGCUGGCGGCGUGCCUAACACAUGCAAGUCAGGGAGAAAUCCGCCGCAAGGCGGAGAGUAAACCGGCGAACGGGUGAGUAACACGUAGGCAACUUACCCUGUGAACGGGGAUAACCCCGGGAAACCGGAGCUAAUACCCGAUGUAGUCCCGAUGUGGCAUCAGAACGGGAUGAAAAGUUCCGGCGCAAGUCGGAAUGUCGCAGGAGAGGCCUGCGUCCCAUUAGAUAGUUGGCGGGGUAACGGCCCACCAAGUCAGCGAUGGGUAGCUGGUCUGAGAGGAUGAUCAGCCACACUGGAACUGAGACACGGGUCCAGACUUCUACGGAAGGCAGCAAGUGAGGAAUAUUGCUCAAAUGGGCGAAAGCCUGAAGCAGCGACGCCGCGUGAGGGAUGAAGUCCGUUAGGAUGU
rnacentral:rRNA from 1 species